CCUACGGGCGGCAGCAGUGAGGAAUAUUGGUCAAUGGACGCAAGCCUGAACCAGCCACGCCGCGUGCAGGAAGAAGGUACUACGAGUCGUAAACUGCUUUUGUACGAGGGCAAAUCCGGAUACGUGUCUCCGGCUGAAGGUACCGUACGAAUAAGGAUCGGCUAACUCCGUGCCAGCAGCCGCGGUAAUACGGAGGAUCCGGGCGUUAUCCGGGUUUAUUGGGUUUAAAGGGUGCGUAGGCGGUUUGUUAAGUUAGCGGUGAAAUGGCGGGGCUCAACCCCGGCCGUGCCGUUGAUACUGGUGGACUGGAGUGUGGUAGCGGUAAGCGGAAUGUGCGGUGUAGCGGUGAAAUGCUUAGAUAUCGCGCAGAACCCCGAUUGCGAAGGCAGCGUACCGGGCUGAAACUGACGUUGAGGCACGAAAGCGUGGGUAGCGAACAGGAUUAGAUACCCGGGUAGUC
rnacentral:rRNA from 1 species